AGGGUUCGGAAGCGGAACAGAAAAGAGAGCUUGCUCCUUUGACGUUAGCGGCGGACGGGUGAGUAACACGUGGGUAACCUACCUAUAAGACGGGAAUAACUCCGGGAAACCGGGGCUAAUGCCGGAUAACUUUUAGAACCGCAGGGUUCUAAAGUGAAAGAUGGUUUUGCUAUCACUUAUAAAUGGACCCGCGCCGUAUUAGCUAGUUGGUAAGGUAAGGGCUUACCAAGGCAACGAUACGUACCCAACCUGAGAGGGUGAUCGGCCACACUGGAACUGAGACACGGUCCAAACUCCUACGGGAGGCAGCAGUAGGGAAUCUUCCGCAAUGGGCAAAAGCCUGACGGACCAACGCCGCGUGAGUGAUGAAGGGUUUCGGCUCGUAAAACUCUGUUAUUAGGGAAAAACAAACGUGUAAGUAACUGUGCACUUCUUGACGGUACCUAAUCAGAAAGCCACGGCUAACUACGUGCCAGCAGCCGCGGUAAUACGUAGGUGGCAAGCGUUAUCCGGAAUUAUUGGGCGUAAAGCGCGCGUAGGCGGUUUCUUAAGUCUGAUGUGAAAGCCCACGGCUCAACCGUGGAGGGUCAUUGGAAACUGGGAGACUUGAGUGCAAAAGAGGAAAGUGGAAUUCCAUGUGUAGCGGUGAAAUGCGCAGAGAUAUGGAGGAACACCAGUGGCGAACGCGACUUUCUGGUCUGUAACUGACGCUGAUGUGCGAAAGCGUGGGGAUCAAACAGGAUUAGAUACCCUGGUAGUCCACGCCGUAAACGAUGAGUGCUAAGUGUUAGGGGGUUUCCGCCCCUUAGUGCUGCAGCUAACGCAUUAAGCACUCCGCCUGGGGAGUACGACCGCAAUGUUGAUACUCAAAGGAUUGACGGGGACCCGCACAGCGGUGGAGCAUGUGUUUAUUCGAAGCAACGCGAAGACCUUACCAAUCUGAC
rnacentral:rRNA from 2 species